AAAGAUGAUAUCAAACUGGAACAGGUGCAGUGAAGGGCUAGUAGGAUGAUCAGAGGAAUGGAAAACCUACCUUCUGAGAGGAGACUCAAAGAGCUUGGC